UCGUUGGUGGGGUGACUUGUUUGGUUUAUUCCGUGAACGAACGAGAUCUCCACUGCUAAAUAGAGGCAAAAUCGAUUACUGGAUGUGCGGGGUCCUUCGGGAUUCCUGCAAUCCAAGAUAGUGUCGUCUUCUUAGCAGCACUUCGCGUGUCUUUUAGCGCGAUGGAGCGAGCCAAUAGCAGGUCU
rnacentral:rRNA from 1 species